rnacentral:rRNA from 1 species
UACAGAGGUCUCAAGCGUUGUUCGGAUUCAUUGGGCGUAAAGGGUGCGUAGGUGGCGUCGUAAGUCGGGUGUGAAAGCCCCCCGGCUCAACUGGGGAGGGUCACUCGAUACUGAUCGACUCGAAGGCAGGAGAGGGAAGUGGAAUUCCCGGUGUAGUGGUGAAAUGCGUAGAUAUCGGGAGGAACACCAGUGGCGAAGGCGACUUCCUGGCCUGUUCUUGACGCUGAGGCGCGAAAGCUAGGGGAGCAAAGCGGG